CCUGCUCCAUGAUCUUAAAUAGCCGCAAACUUGUGCUAAGGUAGCAUAAUAAUUUGUUUCUUAAUUAGAAAAUAGAAUGAAUGGAUAAACACUAGUAUUCUUUAAUUUUUAUUUUUCUUUAAAUUUUAAUAAAAAUAAAAAUAUUUUUAUAAAAAAGGAAGACGACAAGACCCUAAAGAACUUAUCUUAAAGAUUAACUGGGGAAGUAAAAUAAUAAAAAUUUAUUAUAUAAUAUUAAUAAAAGCUAAAAAGAAAAUAAUAAAAGUUACCAUAGGGAUAACAGCGUAAUUUAUAUUUAAAGUUCUUAUUCAAAUAUAAUAAUACGACCUCGAUGUUGAAUUAUUAUUUCUUUUGUAAGUAUAAUUAUUAAAAGAAAGUCUGUUCGACUUUUAAAAUAUUACAU
rnacentral:rRNA from 1 species